rnacentral:misc_RNA from 1 species
GAUGAAGAACGCAGCGAAAUGCGAUAAGUAGUGUGAAUUGCAGAAUUCAGUGAAUCAUCGAAUCUUUGAACGCACAUUGCGCCCCUUGGUAUCCCGAGGGGCAUGCCUGUUCGAGCGUCAUUUCACCACUCAAGCCUGGCUUGGUGUUGGGCGACGUCCCCUUUGGGGACGCGCCUUGAAACGCUCGGCGGCGUGGCACCGGCUUUAAGCGUAGCAGAAUCUUUCGCUUUGGAAGUCGGGGCCCCGUCUGCCGGAAGACCUACUCGCAAGGUUGACCUCGGAUCAGGCAGGGAUACCCGCUGAACUUAAGCAUAUCAAUAAGCGGAGGG